AAUUUCUCUUUGCUGAUAACAACCAAUGUCAUUACGGUUACCACGAUUGAAUGCGUAUCGAAUUGGAUCUUUCUGGUUGCAAGCAAUUUGAUUAUGCCUAACAUUAAAUAUUGUGUAUGAAUUAGAUAAUACUUGUAAUGAAUUGCUUCUAUGACAUUGAAGUCAUUGUCUGCAAUUUUGGAAGCCAUGUGUUGUUGCCGUGGAAGCGUGUUGUUAAUGCCUACCACUAUCAUGAGGCCGGCACUGUUUUAUGCCUUUUUCAAGCUGAUGAUAGAGGACUGCUUGCUGCUGUUCGUUAAAUCUUCAUUUGUUAGUUUACAAUAUCAUGAGGAUGCCUCUGAGGAAAUAUCAGGGCUAAUAGCAGAGUUUGUGACCUCUUCUGAAGAAGCAUCUGAUGGUCGAAUUGAGUAGCCAGCCUGUUAUAUGACAUCCUAUGAGUUCACGGCCAUGGUCAAGGAUCAAGAUCUUGGAUUUGAAAAUGCCUUAUGUGCAUACAUAUGGCUCAUUCAAACAAGAAGAUGGCUCUGCCUCGGACAAUUUGGUAGCUCCUGUUGCUAGCAUGAAACACUUACCUAAGUGCAGACAUCAUGUUCAUGUACUAUAUCUUAAGGGAUAGUUUAACAGAUGCAGCCAUAGAACUCUUGUGUUGAUCUUGAAGUUGAUGCAGCGAUGAGUAUUAUUAGUUAAGCCUUUUUGUCAGAGGAGUUUCUGCUUGUGGCAUCUGUACUGAGUUCUGACUUACAUUUGUGUACUUGUUAAAUUGGUAUUAAUCCUUGCUGUCUUGCUUGAA